GAUGAAGAACGUAGCGAAAUGCGAUAAGUAAUGUGAAUUGCAGAAUUCAGUGAAUCAUCGAAUCUUUGAACGCACCUUGCACCCUUUGGCAUUCCGAAGGGUAUGCUCGUUUGAGUGUCAUUGUACUCUCACUCUCCCGAUCUUUGGAUCGGGAGUGGUGGACUUGGGUGUUGCUGCUUUACCGUGGCUCACCUCAAAUGGAUUCGUGCACCUCUUGGUUGGACAUAGUACGGCGUGAUAAGUGUCUUCGCCGGCACCUCAGUAGAGGGUGGCUGAUCGGGAGCUCUGCUUCAAACCGUCCUCGGACAACAACUGACAACUUGACCUCAAAUCGAGUAGGACUACCCGCUGAACUUAAGCAUAUCAAUAAGCGGAGGA
rnacentral:misc_RNA from 1 species